AGUAAAUAAUUAAGGGCGUAUGGUGGAUGCCUAGGCUCUCAGAGGCGAAGAAGGACGUGAUAAGCUGCGAAAAGCUCCGUUUAGGUGCAAAUAACCUUUGAUGCGGAGAUCUCCGAAUGGGAUAACCCAAUAUGUUGAAGACAUAUUAUACCGUAAGGUAGGCAAACGCAGGGAACUGAAACAUCUAAGUACCUGCAGGAGAAGAAAACAAACGUGAUUCCCCCAGUAGCGGCGAGCGACCGGGGAAAAGCCCAAACCGUUAUUGUUUCGGCAUUAACGGGGUAGUAGGACUGCAAGCUUGAUGAAAUAAAUGAAAUGGAACACCUUGGAAAAUGUGAUCACAGAGGGUGAUAAUCCCGUACAUGCAAGUUUAUGAAUCAUAGCUAGUACCUGCAGGAGAAGAAAACAAACGUGAUUCCCCCAGUAGCGGCGAGCGACCGGGGAUAAGCCCAAACCGUUAUUGUUUCGGCAGUAGCGGGGUAGUAGGACUGCGACAUUGAUGAAAUAAAUGAAAUGGAACACUUUGGAAAAUGUGAUCACAGAGGGUGAUAAUCCCGUACAUGCAAGUUUAUGAAUCAUAGC
rnacentral:rRNA from 1 species